GUAGUGGUCACUUUUAUUGAGCCUAAAGCGUUCGUAGCCGGUUUUGUAAAUCUCCAGAUAAAGCCUGAAGCUUAACUCCAGAAAGUCUGAAGAGACUGCAAGACUUGAGAUCGGGUGAGGUUAAACGUACUUUCAGGGUAGGGGUAAAAUCCUGUAAUCCCGGAAGGACGACCAGUGGCGAAAGCGUUUAACUAGAACGAAUCUGACGGUAAGGAACGAAGGCUANGGUAGCAAACCGGAUUAGAUACCCGGGUAGUCCUAGCUGUAAACAUUGCCCAUUUGAUGUUGCUUUCCCGUUGAGGGAAGGCAGUGUCGGAGCGAAGGUGUUAAAUGGGCCGCUUGGGAAGUAUGGUCGCAAGACUGAAACUUAAAGGAAUUGGCGGGGGAGCACCGCAACGGGAGGAAUGUGCGGUUUAAUUGGAUUCAACGCCGGAAAACUCACCGGGAACGACCUGUGCAUGAGAGUCAACUUGACGAGCUUACUCGAUAGCAGGAGAGGUGGUGCAUGGCCGUCGUCAGCUCGUACCGUAGGGCGUUCACUUAAGUGUGAUAAACGAGCCGAGACCCACAUCUUUAAUUGCCAAUGUAUAUGGGAAUAUGCAUGCACUUUAC
rnacentral:rRNA from 1 species